CGCCCGUCACACCAUGGGAGCUGGUAAUACCCAAAGUCGGUUUGCUAACCUCGGAGGCGACUGCCUAAGGUAGGACUGGUGACUGGGGUGAAGUCGUAACAAGGUAUCCCUACGAGAACGUGGGGAUGGAUUACCUCCUUUCUACGGAGUACAAUUGAAGUUAUCCAUACUUCAUAAAUAGUUAAUGGCCCAAUAUUCGUAUCCAGUUUUGAGAGAACUAUCUCUCAUUUAUUCUUUGAAAACUGAAUUAGACAUUGAAAAUUAAAAUAUUAAUAUUCAAAAAUUUAGAUCAACCUAUAGAAUAUUCAAAAAUAUAGAGACAAAUACAAAAACAAAACAAUAGGUCAAAAAUACUUAUACGUAAUUAAAAUAUAUAACUAUUAAAUAAGCAAGAGUUUUUGGUGGAUGCCUUGGGUCUGGAAGUCGAUGAAGGACGUGAUUACCUGCGAUAAGCUUCGUUUAGCUGGAAAUGAGCAUUUAGACGGAGAUUUCCGAAUGGGGAAACCUAAUUAGGGUAAUGCCUAAUUGUCAUAAUCGGUGAAUCCAUAGCCGAAUGACGAGACACGCUGUGAAUUGAAACAUCUCAGUAGCAGCAGGAAGAGAAAAUAAAGAAUGGUUCCCCUAGUAGUGGCGAGCGAACGGGGAAAAGCCUAAACCAACACUUGUUGUUGGGGUUAUAGGACUACUUAAUGAAGUUUGACAAAUAUUUACAUAUAGCAGAAUGAGUUGGAAUGCUUUAACAUAGAGGGUGAAAUUCCCGUAAGCGAAAUGUGUAAAUCUUCUAGUAGUAUCCUGAGUAGGGCGGGGCACGUGAAACCCUGUCUGAAUCCGCCGGGACCACCCGGUAAGGCUAAAUACUAACCAGACACCGAUAGUGAACUA
rnacentral:sRNA from 2 species